GUGGGGAAUCUUGCGCAAUGGGCGAAAGACUGACGCAGCCAUGCCGCGUGAAUGAUGAAGGUCUUAGGAUUGUAAAAUUCUUUCACCGGGGACGAUAAUGACGGUACCCGGAGAAGAAGCUCCGGCGAACUUCGUGCCAGCAGCCGCGGUAAUACGAAGGGGGCUAGCGUUGCCCGGAAGGACUGGGCGUAAAGGGCGCGUAGGCGGACAGCUUAGUCAGAGGUGAAAGCCCAGGGCUCAACCUUGGAAUUGCCUUUGAUACUGGCUGUCUUGAGUUUGGGAGAGGUGAGUGGAACUCCGAGUGUAGAGGUGAAAUUUGUAGAUAUUCGGAAGAACACCAGUGGCGAAGGCGACUCACUGUCCCAAUUCUGACGCUGACGCUCGAACCCCUGGGGAGCAAACAGGAUUAGAUACCCCUGUAGUCC
rnacentral:rRNA from 1 species